UACGUAGGGGGCUAGCGUUGUCCGGAAUCAUUGGGCGUAAAGCGCGUGUAGGCGGCCCGGUAAGUCCGCUGUGAAAGUCGGGGGCUCAACCCUCGGAUGCCGGUGGAUACUGUCGGGCUUGAGUACGGAAGAGGCGAGUGGAAUUCCUGGUGUAGCGGUGAAAUGCGCAGAUAUCAGGAGGAACACCGAUUGCGAAGGCAGCUCGCUGGGACGUCACUGACGCUGAGACGCGAAAGCGUGGGGAGCAAACAGG
rnacentral:rRNA from 1 species